UCUCUUGUAGCUCAGUUGGUUAGAGCGGCAGACUGUUAAUCUGUAGGUCAUCGGUUCAAGUCCGAUCGGGAGAG
rnacentral:tRNA from 1 species